GACGAACGCUGGCGGCGUGCUUAACACAUGCAAGUCGAACGGAGCGAAUGAAAGCUUGCUUUUAUAAGCUUAGUGGCAAACGGGUGAGUAACACGUAGGCAACCUGCCGACAGGAUGGGGACAACAUUCCGAAAGGAAUGCUAAUACCGAAUGAAGUCAGAGAAGGGCAUCCUUUUCUGAUGAAAGAUGGCCUCUAUAUAUAAGCUAUCACCUGUUGAUGGGCCUGCGUCUGAUUAGCUGGUAGGUGAGGUAACGGCUCACCUAGGCGACGAUCAGUAGCCGGUCUGAGAGGAUGAACGGCCACAUUGGGACUGAGACACGGCCCAGACUCCUACGGGAGGCAGCAGUGGGGAAUCUUCCGCAAUGGGCGCAAGCCUGACGGAGCAACGCCGCGUGAGUGAAGAAGGUCUUCGGAUCGUAAAGCUCUGUUGAUGGGGACGAACGUGCCUAAUGCGAAUAGUAUUAGGUAAUGACG
rnacentral:rRNA from 1 species